rnacentral:tRNA from 7 species
GACCCGUUAGCUCAGUUGGUAGAGCAAUUCCCUUUUAAGGAAUGGGCCGUUGGUUCAAAUCCAACACGGGUCACCA